AGUGAACGCUGGCGGUAGGCCUAACACAUGCAAGUCGAACGGCAGCACAGUAAGAGCUUGCUCUUACGGGUGGCGAGUGGCGGACGGGUGAGGAAUACAUCGGAAUCUACUUUUUCGUGGGGGAUAACGUAGGGAAACUUACGCUAAUACCGCAUACGACCUACGGGUGAAAGCAGGGGAUCUUCGGACCUUGCGCGAUUGAAUGAGCCGAUGUCGGAUUAGCUAGUUGGCGGGGUAAAGGCCCACCAAGGCGACGAUCCGUAGCUGGUCUGAGAGGAUGAUCAGCCACACUGGAACUGAGACACGGUCCAGACUCCGACGGGAGGCAGCAGUGGGGAAUAUUGGACAAUGGGCGCAAGCCUGAUACAGCCAUACCGCGUGGGUGAAGAAGGCCUUCGGGUUGUAAAGCCCUUUUGUUGGGAAAGAAAAGCAGCAGGUUAAUACCCCGCUGUUCUGACGGUACCCAAAGAAUAAGCACCGGCUAACUUCGUG
rnacentral:rRNA from 1 species